rnacentral:rRNA from 1 species
GUAGUCAUAUGCUUGUCUCAAAGAUUAAGCCAUGCAUGUCUAAGUAUAAGCAUUAUACGGUGAAACUGCGAAUGGCUCAUUAAAUCAGUUAUCGUUUCUUUGAUAGUACCUUUUCUACAUGGAUAACCGUGGAAAAUCUAGAGCUAAUACAUGCGACAACCCCCGACUUCGGAAGGGGCGUAUUUAUUAGAUAAAAAACCAAUGACUUCGGUCCUUUUGGUGAUUCAUAAUAACUUUUCGAAGCCUGGGUUUAUCUCGGGCUGGUUCAUUCAAGUUUCUGCCCUAUCAACUUAUACGUAGGGUAUUGGCCUACGUAGGUGACAACGGGUAACGGGGAAU